GUCCCUAUCGUCUAGCGGUUCAGGACAUCUCUCUUUGAAGGAGAUAACGGGGAUUCGACUUCCCUUGGAGGUA
rfam:Beta vulgaris subsp. vulgaris chromosome 2, whole genome shotgun sequence.